rnacentral:rRNA from 1 species
AUUGAACGCUGGCGGCAUGCCUUACACAUGCAAGUCGAACGGCAGCACGGGUGCUUGCACCUGGUUGCGAGUGGCGAACGGGUGAGUAAUACAUCGGAACAUGUCCUGUAGUGGGGGAUAGCCCGGCGAAAGCCGGAUUAAUACCGCAUACGAUCUACGGAUGAAAGCGGGGGACCUUCGGGCCUCGCGCUAUAGGGUUGGCCGAUGGCUGAUUAGCUAGUUGGUGGGGUAAAGGCCUACCAAGGCGACGAUCAGUAGCUGGUCUGAGAGGACGACCAGCCACACUGGGACUGAGACACGGCCCAGACUCCUACGGGAGGCAGCAGUGGGGAAUUUUGGACAAUGGGCGAAAGCCUGAUCCAGCAAUGCCGCGUGUGUGAAGAAGGCCUUCGGGUUGUAAAGCACUUUUGUCCGGAAAGAAAUCCUUGGCCCUAAUACGGUCGGGGGAUGACGGUACCGGAAGAAUAAGCACCGGCUAACUACGUG